CAGGACAAGUACUGUAACAGGACGUGGUAGCGGAGGAGGUCGGCGAGGGAGGAGGGAGAGAGGCGGCGCGUGAAGUCCACCGAGGAGGGUGAGUUGAGGUAGGAGUUCGAUACGGCGAGGAGGGUGACGGAGGAUCGGUGGGAGAGGUCGGCGGCGACGGCUGAGGACGUGGAGGAGAUGAGGGCGGAGAAUGCGGAGAGGUCCGGGUACGGUAAAAGGAGGUCGGUGAUGUUGAGGGCCAGAAUGGGUGGGGUGGUGAUGAGGAGUAAAUAGGUUAUAAUUAUAGGGGUAAAAUUGGAAAUGCGGAGUUUAAAGGCCAUUGCGUGUGUGUGUGUGUGUGUCUCUCUCUCUCUCUCUCUCUCAGUCUCUCUACUAGAAUUUGCAGAGAGUGAAGUGAGUGGAGUAGGAGAUCGCAAGGGAAGGGAGAGUGAAAAGAAGGGAUUGAGUGAGAGCGUGAUGAUGGAGGAUGAUCAAAAAUGAUUAUGGUGAUGGCGAUGUUGAUGCAUUGAAUUUGUUUAAUUGUUAUUUUCAUUGCGGAUCUUUGCCCACUCGCGAUGGAGGUGCGAGUGAGGACACUCGCUUGCCAGACAGAGACAGGGAUUUGUGUUCAUACCUAUCUUAGACAAGUUUUUGCUAUCCAAAUGUGUAUCGCUUUAUUAUCGCAUAAUCAGGCUUUCCCAGUAAACAACAUUUUAGUACGCGACAAAGCGUAUGACAAUUUCAUACACGGGGACAUGAUCGUUAAAUCCAUCAAAACCAGUAAACAUAAGAUCAGACAGUUCCCACGUAUGCAUAGUGCAAUAUAGGGCAUGGGAACACACACUGUAGAUUCUCUGUCCGCUGUCAGCAUCAGACGGCAUAGAAAAGCGUGGAGGCAUCAGGCAACUGUUAUCAGAUCAUAUCAGGACCAUCGAAAAUAUUGUGGGGCCGGGCCAGAAAAGAACAUAACCCACUUGCCUGACCGCGUUCUGUCACCCACUACUACUAAUGCUUUGGCCAACCAACAAUUAACAUCUAGCAAAAUGCCAUUACAAUCCCAGCAGGAUAGAUUCUCUCUGUGUCCAUCUUUUGACCAAAAUACCCCUCAAAUUCUAGAAAAUUCACUGUAAGUACCGAGUCCGUGAUGCGCGCGUGUUUUAUCAGCGUACGGUGUACCUGUUGAUUCCCCAUGCUCCAUUUGUCCAGUUAAAAAUCUUAAAAAUAUUUGUCCGCGUGUAAUUGUCAUAAAAUUAAUUUUUUUUUAAAAAAUUAAAAAUAACGAGAAUUAAAAGGCUUCAGAAAAAGCAGUGUUUGAAGAAUUUGUGGUUCUGGAAAGCUCAGAGUACAGGAUGUUACCGAAAAAGAAUGGUAGCUUUAUCACUUUAUGCCAGAAGAAGGCAAGCUAGCUCGUUAUUUUCUUUCCAAUAAAAUCAGCAAAAUAACAAAAAUGUAUAAAAGUAGAUACAAUCCCUUCAUGCUACUCGUACAUACAUUGCAUUAUUAAAUACUCAAAAGCUCCUUUACAAAAUUACAACCCAAGAAAAAAAAAAAAAACACAAAUUGAGCAGAGCAAAAAUGGUGCUUUUGAAUGUAAAGUAUUUAAAUCAUGGACACAAUUAAAUAAACAUCCCCUCUUAAAAAAACCCAAAAAUUAAACAAUUCGGCUGCUUUUGUAGCCAAAUUAAAUUCAGCAAUGUAACAAAAAUAAGAACAGAAAAAAAAAUUGUACCCGAAAAAAAAAAAAGGAUUCAUACCAGUACAUACAACAAUCCUAUACAACACAGAGCAGCUGCAACAACGUAGCUCCUCCACUGCAACUGCAAUCCAUCAGCGUUUGAUCUCAUAUCUUCGCGAAAGCCGGGUGGCGACGUCAAAUGCGAAGAGGGCCCACCGAGUCCCGGUGAUUUCUCAGGCGACGGUGAUACACCCGGCGGCCGAGCAUUGCCUAUCUGCUGAUUCCCCGGCUUCGUCGUCACCGACGGCUCCUUCCCAAAAAUCUCCCUUGGCAGUAACACUUUUGAUACCCCAAAAAUCGCCAACGGAUUCUGAUCAAAAACUGUUUGCGUUACCGAUGCUUGAACGAGCCCAGUAUCGAUAGCCACUGAACCAUUAACUCUCGAAAUGUUUAACGUAAACCGACCGGCUCCCAUGUCUUCGGUCGCCAAUGUCGGCUGAACCGGGUUCACUAUCGACUCGAGCGAACCGAGCGGAUAAUAAGAAUGCAAAACAUGGAAUUUCAAAACGACAGCUUUUUUAUCAGCUGGCAGAGACUGCAGCUUCACGUUAUUGGGCAGAUCUGCGAAUGCGAGAUCGGUGGGGACGAAUAGAGUAAUCCCGGCGCCGCCUUCAUCGGCCUCGAAUUCCUCGACGACACCGGAGGCUGCCAGCAUCGACGCCGCGACGUUGAAGUUGUGGCCGUCGAUCAGGGCCUUGGUGAUGUUGAGUCCCAACGGCGGCCUGGUCUCGGAAGCCAUAAGAUCGAAGCCGUAGGGGACCAAGAGGGAGUUGAUCGAGAGAAUUGUGAUGUUGUAAGGCAGGGUUUUGAUUAGGGUCAACACGGUGGCGUUUGAGGCGGAGUAAGGAGCGGGGGAGUGGAUGGCGAUUGCGUUGGUGGCGGGGUUGCGGCUGAUGUUGACGGAGCCGAAGUUUGACGACGCGCGGCCGGUGGUUUGGAAGAGCGUGGUGACUAGAAUGCCGGAGGAGGGGAUCUUGCGGAGGUCUGCCCAGGACAAGUACUGUAACAGGACGUGGUAGCGGAGGAGGUCGGCGAGGGAGGAGGGAGAGAGGCGGCGCGUGAAGUCCACCGAGGAGGGUGAGUUGAGGUAGGAGUUCGAUACGGCGAGGAGGGUGACGGAGGAUCGGUGGGAGAGGUCGGCGGCGACGGCUGAGGACGUGGAGGAGAUGAGGGCGGAGAAUGCGGAGAGGUCCGGGUACGGUAAAAGGAGGUCGGUGAUGUUGAGGGCCAGAAUGGGUGGGGUGGUGAUGAGGAGUAAAUAGGUUAUAAUUAUAGGGGUAAAAUUGGAAAUGCGGAGUUUAAAGGCCAUUGCGUGUGUGUGUGUGUGUGUCUCUCUCUCUCUCUCUCUCAGUCUCU
rnacentral:lncRNA from 1 species